rnacentral:rRNA from 1 species
UACGUAGGGUGCGAGCGUUAAUCGGAAUUACUGGGCGUAAAGCGUGCGUAGGUGGUUCGUUGUGUCUGUGGUGAAAGCCCCGGGCUUAACCUGGGAAUGGCGUUUGAAACUACGGAGCUGGAGUGUGGCAGAGGGAGGUAGAAUUCCACGUGUAGCGGUGAAAUGCGUAGAUAUGUGGAGGAAUACCGGUGGCGAAGGCGGCAUCCUGGACCAUUACUGACGCUGAGGCGCGAAAGCUAGGGGAGCAAACGGG